rnacentral:rRNA from 1 species
GACGAACGCUGGCGGCGUGCUUAACACAUGCAAGUCGAACGGUGAACCUCUUCGUAGGGGAUCAGUGGCGAACGGGUGAGUAACACGUGGGCAACCUGCCCCCGGCUCUGGGAUAACUCCAAGAAAUUGGGGCUAAUACCGUAUGUUCACCGCUUCCCGCAUGCGUGGUGGUGGAAAGGGUUUCCGGCUGGGGAUGGGCCCGCGGCCUAUCAGCUUGUUGGUUGGGUAGUGGCCUACCAAGGCGACGACGGGUAGCCGGCCUGAGAGGGUGACCGGCCACACUGGGACUGAGACACGGCCCAGACUCCUACGGGAGGCAGCAGUGGGGAAUAUUGCGCAAUGGGCGGAAGCCUGACGCAGCGACGCCGCGUGGGGGAUGACGGCCUUCGGGUUGUAAACCUCUUUCAGCAGGGACGAAGCGCAAGUGACGGUAACUGCAGAAGAAGCACCGGCCAACUACGUG